rnacentral:rRNA from 1 species
GACAGAGGUCUCGAGCGUUAGGCGGAAUCACUGGGCUUAAAGCGUGUGUAGGCGGAUGUCUAAGUACCUUGUGAAAUCCCACAGCUUAACUGUGGAAUUGCUUGGUAUACUGGAUGUCUUGAGCCAGCUAGGGGCAACCGGAACAAGUGGUGGAGCGGUGAAAUGCGUAGAUAUCAUUUGGAACGCCAAUGGUGAAAACAGGUUGCUGGGGCUGUGCUGACGCUGAGACACGAAAGCCAGGGGAGCGAACGGG